AUACGUAGGGUGCGAGCGUUGUCCGGAUUUAUUGGGCGUAAAGGGCUCGUAGGUGGUUGAUCGCGUCGGAAGUGUAAUCUUGGGGCUUAACCCUGAGCGUGCUUUCGAUACGGGUUGACUUGAGGAAGGUAGGGGAGAAUGGAAUUCCUGGUGGAGCGGUGGAAUGCGCAGAUAUCAGGAGGAACACCAGUGGCGAAGGCGGUUCUCUGGGCCUUUCCUGACGCUGAGGAGCGAAAGCGUGGGGAGCGAACAGGCUUAGAUACCCUGGUAGUCCACGCUGUAAACGGUGGGUACUAGGUGUGGGGUCCAUUCCACGGGUUCCGUGCCGCAGCUAACGCUUUAAGUACCCCGCCUGGGGAGUACGGCCGCAAGGCUAAAACUCAAAGGAAUUGACGGGG
rnacentral:rRNA from 1 species